GGAGGCGCGGUGCCGCCGGCGGGGCGGGGGGCGGAGGGCAGGGGCCGCCCGGCCGGUGCCGCGUCCUUUGUUGCCGCCGGCGGUGACAUCACCGUCUGGCGCGGGGACGCUCCGGGACGGGGACCGCGGGCCCUGCCCGGGCUCUGCCCGGGCCCGCUCGCACCGCUCCCGUAUUUUUAGCAGCAUCUGAUCCCCACUAAGUAACUCCCCCAGCGCAGGGGAUCCUGUUUCCCUCCGUCCUGUGGGGCACCGGCGGGGAAGUGUUUCCCAUUGUUCGAUGGGGUUGUUUUUUGGGUUUUUUUUCUGUCUGUGCGAGAAUCUGUUAAUUUACAUCUUGAUGACGAAUCAAGGGGGAAAGAAGGAAAAGGCCGCGUGUUUGCUGUGGUGGCUUUGCUGACAGCGGAGGAUAACGCCGAUGUGGAGGGGGAUGGUUGGUGUGAAUGCCUGCGCUUGGCUGCCUCUGGAAGGGAUGGACAUGGAAAGGGAACCUGAACUUGGGGUUGCACUUGUCUGCUCCCGGAGAUCUCCACCCCCACCUACAGAAAUGUGCAAAGCGGUCUACAGCACUGACAAAUGAAAAGGAAAACUAUCCAGCGGUAGAACUGCACAUUCUAUUCAAGUUUAGAAAGUAUUUUCCUGUCUGGGAUAAUAGCAUACAUACCAGAGGCAUCUACAGGAACGGCAGUGGAGACACACAUUCUGGGGGGUGACUGGAGAGCUGUAUGUUUUCUAGGAUGGGAGUCAUUCCCUAAUUGCAGACCCUGAUGUGUAAUUAACAAAAUUGCAGGAAGUGUUUAACCGGACAGGCGUGUAAUCUGCAAAUGCUUUAGCGAGUUCAAGAAUUCCACCCUGGAAGGAGCCCCUGAGUGUUGAGGAGAAGCCCUAGAUGUAGCAGCCCUUUGCUGGUGCCCUGAAGCUGCACGGAUGAUUCUUGGCAGUGUGUGCCUGAUUUUUUGUUUGGGUGCGAAAGCUGAGUGCCACAAUAAAUUCCAUGAGGAAUUUUUGUGUUCUGAUUUUUGAGCUGAAGUCUGUGUCUGCUGAAGUCCAGUAAAUAGAAAGUGCUUGGUGGCGGAUCAAGUUUUUUAAAGGUUGCAUUGUUCUAAAUGGAGCCUGAAUGAUCCGUGAGGUUUAGAAGUGCGUUGUAUUUUUGUCAAAUCAGCAUAAAAAGUUUGACUGUUUGUGCAAUGUAUUGCAUUUAUAUCUGAUUCUAGGAAGAUUUGUGGAGGUUUUUUUUCUUGUUCUUCCCUUUGAAAGCAAUCUGUUAGCUCUUGUAAGAGUCACCAAUCAGGUAUAUGCCUUAUGCAAGCCUUCUAGUGUGGAUGUUGGCGUAGAUAAGGACUCUUCCUCUGUCAUCAGAGAUUUUUAAAAUUUUUUUCUUGAUUUGUCUGCAAGUGUGGAUGGUUGACUGAGAACCCGACAGACAGUAAAAUAAGUGAACCCACAGGUGUCUAUUAUCGAGUAAGUGUAUUCAUAGCAAACCUCCCCUCAGCUGAAGAAGCUGUGCAGCAUCAGGUGAUGUGCCCACAGGCACUUGGCUGUGUCAAACAUCACUGUCUGUCCUGAAAACUCCUCCACUGAUCCUGGCACUUCCUAAAGCUUCACCUUAGGGUAGCCUUUAGUGUUUCAUAGUCAAAAUCAAAGCUACUCUUUCCACAGGUUUUGAACCACAAUGGAUUGUGACUUAAAAAAAAGAUAGGCCUGAGCUAUACUAUUACGCAGCGUUUUAUGCGCUUUAGAGGUUGAGGGGAUUUAUAAUUUAAAAUUAGUUAAUGUUUACAGGAUACACAAAACUCUUAAGUAUGAACAAUUGCUGAUGCUCCAGUAUUCCUUUUGUGCUAGAAGUCAGUCACCCAUUUUAACUUUCAAGUGGCUGCCCAGAGUCAGUGUUACAAACGGGAAAGUUGUCCCCUUGUUCCUGGUAAUUACUUCUUUCUGCGUCUUAACCAGAGUUAGUAUAUAAUGUGUAGACAUUAGGAAUGAAAGGAAGGAAGGGGAUAAAACAAGCUUGAAAACUUGUGGCAACUAGCCUUGAGAAACUGGAAGGUGAACAGUUUUGAAGCCGGCUGCUGAAAUGUCAGCUGCAUAUUUUAGAAGAGAGUAAAAUCUGAUGUGUCUGUUGCUCUUGGGUUUGCAGCAACAGUGUGUCAGCUUCCUGAACAGCUCUUGCAAGGCAUGCAAACUAAGGGAAGGAGGUUUGCUGGGGAAGAUAAACAGUUGUAGAAGAUGACUUCUGUGUUACUUUGACAUUUAAAGUACUUUUUUGUGUUCUGACGUGAUUGUGCCAGGGGUGUUCAUGUGGGACUCUUGUUGUGCCUUAAUAUUUAUUUACCUAUUGAGUUCCAACUGCAAAAUGUACCCCCAGUAAAAACUGCAGUAUAGCAGGUCAAAUUCCUUUGAUCACUGAGUGCUAUUAAACUGGCUGUGCAAAAUUCCUACUUCCAAAAGUCAGGCUGAGAAUUGGAUUGACAGUAUGGACACCUAGAAUCAUGGGGAAUAACUUCCAUUGAGAGGCUCUGCAAAUACCUGUCUCUUGGUUCCUGUGGCAGUACCUGUUACCAGCUGCUGCAGAAAGGCCUCAGAGAGGAAGCAUCUUUUUAAACAGGCGUCUGAAUUAAUAAGAAAGUGGCCUAUUAAAGCAUCAGGUAUUUUCCAGUGCAUUGAGCUUAACCACUAACACGAGAAAAAAUGAAAACACACCAAAACAAGAGUGUGUUUUCAUAGCGGGGAGGAAGGAAGUGAUUUCAAGAGUGGACCAACAUUUUCAUAGACAGAUGCUAAUUUUGAAUGCCUCCAUUUUAGAACCCAGAAAUUACAACUGCUUUCCUAAGUGUUAGGAACAUGCAGCUCCAUUUUUAACCAGGGAAUCUGUGAUUAGGAAGGAGUUAGCUUUGGUUUUGUUUUUUUUCCUCAAGUCCUCAAAAUUGAGUAUGCUUUCAAAUUUGUUUUCCUUUUUGGUGUAUGACUUCUUCACCAUCUGUUGGCAAUAUGCCGUCUGCUGUUUUUCCAUACAAGUUCACUGGGUUUUUUUCAGUUUCUCUUAUUCUACUAGUUCUCCUCAAAUACUUUUUUUUUUUUUUUGCAGAACAGAUGUGUCCCUUUUCUUAAUCCUUGUCUUAUAUUUCUGUUCUUAAAUAGUUCCUUAAUAGCUGUAGGAAAUAAUUUGCCAUUUUAUUCAGUUUUGGAAUUUUUACCCAGUAAAGUACAAAAUGCUUUGCACCUUUUUUCCCGAAGUUUCUACAAAGUAGUACUGUGGACAAAAUACACUGUAGUCUGCAAAAAAAAAGAUGUAUGACACUUGCUAAAUUACUUAGCUAAAAGCAUGAGAAAUAAGCACAAGAUUUUCAUGUUGAUAGUAACCUCAUACAAGCUCGUUUGAUAUGUUGAUGUGGUAGAUAGAAUGAUAAAAUAGUUUACCUGCAGAGCUCCAGAGCACCCUCUGGUACUUUGUACCACCAUGUGUUGUCUUACAGGCCAAGAUAAAAUGUUUCAGUGGAUCUGGUGGAUUUUUUUUUUCUUUUUUUUUUAUUUGGAGGGAUUAAUUUAAAACCUUUUGGCCUGGAUACUCAUUUGAUUUGGCUGUAGGCACAAAAUGAGACGAGAUCACAAACAGGAGCUUAACCCAGUGCUGUGCUCCCAUAAUCCUCCAAAAGCUGUUGGGGACAGCAGGUUUUGAAAGUGUAAUUUAGGAUGUCUCAUGGCUUCCCUUAAAGCUGAAGUUGCUGCAAUAGCCUCCUUGGGCCUCCUCUGAGCUGAGUGUCACCUGUACACAGUGUGCACAUCCUCAUCCCACUGGCUUGUCGUUCUUCAUUCCAGCUGUUCCCAGUUCAGGGAGGUGGCACAUCAGCCUGUCCUGGCAGUGCCACAGGCCUGUGAGGAGCACAGCACACUGGGUGCAGCCCUGGAGAUGCUGAAGAAGUGCCCAGAGAACAGUCAGAGAAUCUUCUUGAAAGAGCCCACUGCAUUUCUGUGUGAAGCUUGCCCUGUGGAUGAGAGUGUUGGAUAUUUUUUGCUCAAGAGAGAAACCAAGCCUUUGUUACUCUCUCCUCGUGACUUAAGGUGUAUGUUACAUUGGUGUUCUGAUGUUGUUUUUUCAAAGGCAUGGUAAUUAAUAUAAUUAAAAAUUGCUAGCCAAAUGAAUUCUGAUCUAGGAGUUGCACCCAUUUAUAGAAAGAGCUGAACAAAAAUUCCCUUAGGCCCCGAUGGAAAUGAUUUAGCAUCUGUGCUUGUAUUGUACAAGAGACUGUGGUAGUGUAACAGGUUAUGAUCUACCAUGGAGUGGUUGUGCAAAGCUGGAACUCUUGAUCUAUGUUGGAACAGCAUAAAAGGGGAAAAGAUGCAAUGGGAAAAUGUUACGUACAGAAAGCUAUCCGUGGAAAAAAAGCAAAGCAGCUAGUAGGGUUACUUUCAUGUAAGAGAAAGCAGUGUAUUUAAAAGUUGCCUAUGCAUGUCUUGCCCUUUUUUCUGCUUGUCCUCCACAUCUUGGUGAUGAUGUGUAUGAAUUACAAUUGCUCUUGUGGAUGUGAACUGAAAUAUCACUCCAGUCCACAAUUCCUUAGUCUGCUGGAAACUUCAAAGGGCUUCAAACCCUUUGUUUUUGUUGCUGUGUUGUUGGUUUGUGCCUUCUGACAGCAGUGCCCAAGGUGAAAAUCGGCUACUAUGAGGAGGGAAAGUGAUGGAGGAGCUGAAACUGAGAGUUUGCUGCAUGGAUAAGAAAUAGAGUAGCCAGCGAUGUUUGGUGCUUCUCCUCAAGGAUGAGAUUGCUUGAGUAACCUUAUGUAAUUCAUUCUCAGAAAUGUUUUAGUAGUUUUCUGGAAUAACAUUUUUUCUGGAAAGACCAGGCAUUAAGUGAUAAAGUCACUCCUGAUAAAUAGUUACGGUGUAAUUUAGACCUGCAUUCAAAAAAGCUGUAAGUGCUCCAUGUUUUGUGCUGCAGUUCUGGUAAAUUAUUUGUAUAUGUAAUGCAAUAAGCCUUCUUUUUAAUAUCAGUAUAGGGCUAUACAGUUCAUUUUCCAUACAGUAAUGAAAUGUAUGUAUUAUGAAUGUCAUUAUAGUAGCACUCAAGAUUACUUGGUAAGUGAACAAUAUGCCAUGACACUUCUUAUUCUUCCACAGCUGAAGAAUUUAGCAAGUUGUCUUGAGAAUUGUAUUGCUGGCAAUCAGUUCUAGGUGAAAAGUUUCUUGAGGGUGCUAAGUCUAAACUUCCUUUCUAGACAACAGUUAGAAAAAACCUGCACCUGUAUUUCCUGUCUCAGUGCAUAUUGGUUUCAGCAUAGCCUGCCACACUGGCUGAGGGGGGCUGUCUUUCAUUUUGCUGGUGAAAAAAGCUGGUGGGGCAGAGGGAGAAGAGAGGAAGGAAGACCUGAAAGUAAAGGAUACCAGAUGGUAUCACAGAGUUAGGUAACUUCAGUCUUGAAAAUACCCAUUCAUAAUCAGUUUAAAUGAAUAUUUCAAUUAAUAUUGGUUGACUAUUGUAAUGCUUUAUCUGCUUAAAAUAGAUUUUAAACUACCGUUGGUUAAAAAUGUGUUAGGCAUGGCUGGAGGAAGUGGGAAGAGUAUGCUAAUGUUUGAGUUCUAUGUGUUACCACCUUUCUUAUAAAAUUAGAGCUGGUUUCUAGAUUCACUGUUGAGUUGGCAGUUGGUAAGGAUCUGUUCCUAACCACUCUGUCCAGGAGAUCUUCCAAGGGGUAUUAUGAAAAGAAUAUGUUUAUAAUCCCAUUUAACUGAGUAUUGCAUUCUGCUUCACGUGGAUUUCUGCAAGAAGUGUCUGAAGUUGGCUCAAGAUGCUCUACAGUCUGUCCCUGUUCAUCAUUUCAACAAUGGAAGGAAGCUCAGCUUGAUGAGCACUUCUGCAGACCCUGUUAAUGGCUGCAGUCAAACUGGUUGCAGAAUGUAAGGCAAAGGAACUAAAAAUAACUCCUCUUGCUUGUGGCAGACUUGUGUCUUCCAGUCCUUGUGCUUGUCCUUGUUUCCCCAUAUGCACAGAGAAACAUACUUGUAUUUUGGAGAAGUAAUAGUCUGUGGAGUAGACUAAAGCAAAUCAGCCAUGACUUUUCUAUGAGCUAAUGAAGCAGUUCCUCAGAGACCAAAGAAUUACAAAAUGAGCAGAUAUUUAGGGAUGUCAUGGUUGAGUAAGAAUGAAACCUUUUUGGGGGAAAAAGCUGGAGAGUCACUGUUCUCUUGACUCUGAAAGGCAAAGCAAGCUUCGAUCUCGACUUAGACCGCAAGAAGAAUUGUCCCUGACAUUAUGAAGGUCUCAGAAGCAAAGAUGUGUCUUGCUCCUCCCUGAAGAAAAGGAACCUCUGCAGAAAUUUAUGACAAACCUGAUGCUGGAGAGAGGGAGCUUUAUCAGAAGAUCUGCUUAAGGCAGUAGAUAAGUCUCCUAAAAUCUGUUUUGGAAUCUGAUAGUUCAGCAUUUAUUUGGCAGCCUGCAUUCCAGAUGCUUGAUUAAUAGGAUGAAGAGUCUGUGGAGAUGGUAAUAAGAAAUCUUGCCUAAUCAGGGUGAUGAAUCUUUGCUGUGCUGGAAGAUCAUGCAUUCUUUUGGACAAGCCAACCCAAACAUGCAAUACCACCCUCCCUAAAACCUAGGACCACCAUGUGUUUAGGAAGCUCUUCCCGUGUGUUUCCCGAAUGUACCUUGGGUUGAGUGCUGUGAUCAGCUGUUGCUGGCUGUACAUCUGGCGUCAGUUUCUGACCCACAGAAAAUAAACCACUUUUAUGUUUUGAAGAGAUAAUGAUCUGUGGAAUGGACUAAAGCAAAUCAGCUGUGACUUUCCUACGAACUAAUGAAACAAUCUCCAAGAGACCGAACAGUUACAGAGAGCGAGUAUUUUAUUUACCAGCCCCUCCAUAGGAAUCUGCCAACCACUCUGUUUCUCAUCAGCGAAGAAGGAGGUCAGAAUGCCGGUGGCAUAAAAGCUGCUGGGCCAGGAUCCACAGACGGUGACACGGACAAAGAGCAGAUGCGUGCAGCGACUGGAGGAGCAGAUAAAAGAGCCAUCCUUUAACCGCGCUUGCGUCAGCCAAAUCACAACCAGCUGGGUUGUUGUGCCGGGCAUUUCUGACCCACCGCAACGCUCACGCGUGCUCUGUGCACGUUUACACACACACGUACCCUCUGUCAAAGGCCAGGCUGAUUUUUGAGCCUUCUUCUUCUCCUCCCUCUGUUUUCAGCCAUUGGUUUAGUUGAGGGAUGAUGUAGACCUGAGGUUCCCAGGGGAGGACUGAAACUGUUGGAAGGAUGAGAGAAACUGUGACUCAGGAAAUUCAGUUCCUCCUUUAGUCCCAGCAUGCAGUGAUGAAUGUGCAGACUGUUAUCCUUGCAAUACUGAAACCUGUUUCCCUUGGUUGUAGUUUUGGACACUGGAGUGGCCUCUGUGUCCUCUCAUCUGCUCUUUGCUCAGAGGGAGCAAUUUGUAUUUCUAGAGGCAAGGUUCAGAAGUGCUUGCAUGCAGUACCCUGCACUCCAAGGCCAAAAGCUCAUGCAGGGACAACUUCAUCCUCAGUUAAAGACAAGUCUCAGCUGGCUGACAGGGCUGAGUUUCCCAGAGCUUGGGACUGUAGCUAGCCCACAUACUAGUGGAGUUUGGACUGCUAAGAGAGGUCCUAGAAGCAUCAAGGAAACGCCUGGUUUAUGACUAAUAAAGUUUAAUGAAACUGCUUGACUAUCCAGUUGUAAGCAAAAAAUGAGUCAGUCUGUGCUGGUUUGGACAAAAGCAAGGAAUUGACCAUCCUGCAACCAUGAUUAAAACCAUUACAUUUACCACAUGCCACCAGUUUCUAAUCUGUGUCAUGGCAAAACUGCAUUAGAAGAGAAAAUCAGACUAGAAUAUAUCCCACAAAUAUAUUAUAACAUAACUACUGUCCAAGUAUAAAUGGCUCUGUGGAGACUGUAAAGUGUCCCUGUAGUCCUCACCACUUUCAUUCUGUGUGGCUCUCCAGAUGAUUUGUGUACAAGCUCUAGCCAGAAGGAAAUGGAGCAAUAUUUCUCUGUAUUUAUUCCCAUAAGAUGUAUCUUGGUAGUGGGGAUACAAAUCUCUUGUGACUCAGUGUGCGAACACUGCAGAAUUGGAUGAGGUUGGGUGCUCUUGCCCUUUCUGUUUCAGAGCUGUGGGAGGCUUAUCUAAGAGAUCAAAGUGCAUCAGAUUCCAUUAUUUCGGUAUCUAUGGGACAGUAUAAUGCAUGAAUACUCUGGGCCAGUGCCUGUGUCUGACUUUUAUUCAUCACUGUAAUUAAAGCCAGAUCCAGAGCUUGUUCUGUGCACUGAACGUUAAUCACAGUGUUUUAUUAACACAGUUGUCGAAAUCUUUAAUUCAGACAUCGUGUAAUUUUGCAAUAUAGAUUAAGACUAGUAUUUAUUUUGCCUGAAUGCAUUAAUUUUAUUUAAAGUUCAGAAAGAGAAGAGAUUGCUCUCAGGUUUUGAACAAAUGAGUGCAAGCAUUGCUUGACUGCAGACAUACCAAACUGCUAAACUGGUUUGGUCUGCACUGUUGCUUAACAAAAAGCAGUGAACUGCUGUAUUCAGUGGAAAAUACAUAAAAGGCUCAGCAAACUAAUGCUCUAAAUUCAGAUUUAGUUAAGACACUGAAAUGAAUAUUUUAACAUCUGUAGACUUUAUUUUGUGCACUGUUUUAGUACUUGCUUAAUUGCCAUUGCCAGUUUCUGAUGUUUUGGGAUUUCCCUUGGUUGUUUUCUGUUUAAAUAUUAUGAUUUGUAUUGCAGUUGCGUCCAUUUAUCUUCAGUUUAGCUUAUGAAAUAUGACUAAGACAUUGCUUUAGUUUCUGCUUCACAGAGUUCUUUAAUGUUGCAUCUAUAUAUUUGGAGACCUUGAGGCAGUUGUGGGUUGUCCCAUGGAGAAUGGUGUCCUUGAAAGUAUAUUGCUCUUCUUGGAAAGGAAGAGAAUCAGUUUUAAAAUUCAACUUUAAAUUAACUAUUAAUUCUUUUCUUGGUUAGUGCCUUUUCACCUCUCAGUUCCUGGCCCUCCAAAUCUCUGUGGACUGUUUUGAUUGUGCUCACAGGAACUAAUGAAAUCCCCUCUGUAGUCACUAAACUGAAACACAGGCCCCCACCUCUACUUGACAAUUUUUAGGGAUCUGCUGGUUGGAAGCAGGCGAGGAGCACUGCAUAGGUGCUGCUGUACUGAGGUCUGUCCCAGGCUGAGGAAACUCUUCCUGCCCUGGUCUCCCACCUCUUCAGCUGUGGCACCUUCAUGUUGCUGCAGUGGCUGAGCCAGGGACCCCAGAGGCUGGGCUGAGUUAGGUGGUGGCCCUUGGCCCAAACCUGAGUGAGAUGCUUGGUUAUUCUCCCACUGCCCUCGAUUGGAAGUGGGAGCAUGGUAUUUAAUCUGUUGGAGUGGAUUCAUACGAAAGCUCGCCUGGAGCUGUGCUGGGUUGUGUGUAGUCAUUCCAGCCUCCUGUAAGAAUCACUGAUGAGGUGCAGGGAGGGAUUUUACAUUAUGUCUGAAUAUAGACAAACUCCUUGAGGUUUCUGAGACCUGAGUUUGUAUUUACUUUACUGUGUGGCUAAACUACUGAAAAUAAGUUUACUAAAGAAUGCCCAUUCUUUCUGUAAAUGUAGUGAGUUUCUCAGUUUAAAGUGGAUGGAGUCAGGUAUUCAAACGGACAGUGUUUCAUGGAGAGUUUUGUUUUUAAAAGUCCUUUAGGAAACAAAAAAAUACUAUCCACACAAGAUUUCAUGCUCCAAGUAAUCUUUUAUUUCCUUUAGAAACUGUAUUCUUGUUCAAUGAGUAACCUGUUUUUUUUCUGCCUCCCAGAAGAAGCAAGAUGACCUAGAUCUAGAGGUUCCUGGGGAAAAGUUCACUUCACCCUAUAUAUAGCGGCUCCUGAAGUGUCUUUAUGUAGCUGUCAUUUACUUUUAGCUGAUGAACUGAAAGAGAAAAGAGCUAAGUUUUAGGCUAAGGUAGGAAAGGAAGGUGUUUUAUCCCUGCUUUUUGUGGGGGUCUCUUAUGCACGUAUCACUGCCUGGAUUACAGCCAGGUGAAGGCCGGACUGCCCAACUUCUGGCUGUAACACUGAAGUUCAGCUCUGUGUAUCUCCUCAAUAUGCUGCAGCUGAAAAAUGACCAACUGCCUCUGUGAAAGGAGUGAAUGGGAUCCUGCCUUUGUGCCAGCAGGAGUUUCUGCACAGGACUCAGAACGUGAUAUCCUGGGGUCACUGUGUUCUUUGCUCCGGUCAGAUCACGCAGAUGGAGACUCCUGCAAGCAGCGCUCCUGGCACGGUGGUGUUUUUAUUGGAAAGCAAAAACUGGGAAAAUGGUAGUAACAACUACAUAACAGAUGCUACCAAACAGGCUGUUGGUGUUGAGGGAUCAGGCAAGUGUUUCCACCUCAGGGUGAUGAGUCAAACGGUGAAGUGUACUGCAGGCUGAGGGAAACCUGCCCGUCCUUUUGUCAGCAUAAGGCUUUUUGGUACAGGGGACUUUAUCUGAGUGCAUCAGUAACUUGAGCAGUUUGGGCUUCUGCAGCCUUUCUGGGGAGGGAAGGGUACUUUCCAAGUCCCUACAGAAAGUGCCUAAGGACAGCACACACUCCUCUCCUGGGGCCUUCCCACACCAGGGCCAGUGCUGGUGGAAUCCAUCGGUGCUCCUGUGGUGGGCUGUGUACACCUCUGGCAUGUGGGGAAAGCAGCAUCUGUGUUUGUUUAACUUGAUGGCAGGAUCCUGCUCCAGCACUUAAAAAUAAUGACUUCAGCAGGCCCAGCUCAGGAGUGAGCACAGCCAAAGCCCGAGGAGGGGCUCAGAGGCUGUCUUGGUGUUCAGCAGACCAUUGGCUGAAACCAGGCAAAAAUGAGGUGUGCCUUGUGCUCAGUGCUGUGUGUGGAGAUGUUUCUGGGACAAGGAGGUCUGAUCUAAUCAUCCACUGCUGCCAAAAAGGGAUUGUUUAGCUUUUCUCUCCUGUUUUCUACAUGGAGCCUGUUCUCUGCAGUCACUCCAUGGUGGCUCUGGUGCUUGGUGGGUCAGCUCAUACCAUUCAAGUGUCUGAAACGGGUUGUCUUAUUCUUCUUCUGGUCAGAUUAGUGAAAUGAACUGACUUCCUGGUGGACAUUUGAUUUAUCAGCACUUUUUGCCACCUAUAGAUUGCAUUUUACUUAGUGACAUCUGUGGAAAGAUCUAGAGGUGUCAGAUAUUAGAUCUGUGCUAUUGCUACCAAGUAUUAGAGAAACUUUGGCUUUUCCAUGUUGAAAUUAAGACUAUACUUGGACUCAGCUGUGUGCCAGAGCAUGCACAGGAUAAGUAUCUGAUACUGGUUUGAGCAGUGAGUGUAUUUGGAAUGGUCUGUGCAUGAAAUGCAGUCUACAGUUGCCAUUUUUAACUUCGGCAGGGUGGUGAUUUCAGUUGAAGGAAUUUUACUGCUUUAGGACAAAUAUCUGAUGUGGAUAAAGCCUUAAUUCUUUAUUUCUUAAAUGGGAUCUUUCUGGUUAAAAAAAACCCUCCAAAACCAUAAAAACAUAAAAGAAAGAAUCUAAGUUUGUCUACCACAACCACCUUUAAAGGUUCUUGAGUGCUUUUCUUUACUAUUUUUCUUGUUAAAGAAGUUUCAUUAGUGUUACCUAACAGUUCAUGAGUAGGCUUGGUAAGUGCAGGAGUGUCUGGAGCCUUGGGCAGCCUGUUCAUGUUGUGCAGCAGGCUGUGCUGUCCCUUGGGACACGACUGACCACAGUAACAUCAUUGAUCAGCGUCGUGGCUUCUGCUCUGCCUCUUUCCUCACACAAGCCUUCCAGUUACGAUUCUGUGGAUGGUUUCCAAAGUCUGAAUGUUGCUUGGCAAGCUUUGUCACUGCUGUUAGGAGUUUGAUUACCUUUGUGCAUAUGUAUGUGAGGACUGCCAGUGUCUGUGGCUUUUAAUAAAACAACCUCCUUCUAGUCUAAAAUGUUUAGAAUUAAGAAAUUAUGUAAUUGUGGAAGAGAAGGAGCUAGGCUGGCAGCCUCAAUUUGACUGUCCUGUUUUAUAUGUUGUGUCUCCUUAUUCUAGUUUGGCAUCACUCAGAGGAGGCCACUGGCUUCCUGAUGGAGCCAGUCUUGCUUAAGGCAAAUAAAGGGACAAAAUCCUGUUUCAGAAAAUAAAUCUGAGAAACAAAUCUUGCUGAUUCUUUGUGCAUCCACUCAUGCAGCGUUACGAGUUCUCCUUGCUGGAGUAAUGCUGUUCUCUUCUGUAGCUCAAUCCCCCUUGCCAGAACCUUUCUAUUCAGCUUUCUGAAUUCAGAACCAGGAACACUGAACACAAGCAGUAAAUACCAUCUUUACAGCCUUUUUGCAUCUCAUUGACCGUGUUGGGUCAGGCUUAAUUUUUGACUUGGAGACCUACCAAAAAAAACCCCUCAAAGCCACAGGAGAUGGGGCUGCUGGGGCAGAGAGGACACCCUUCCUUGUCAGUCAUAUUCCACACUGCCAGGGCUGUGGGGCACUGCAAAGCUGCAGAAAUUGUUUUCUGAAUAAGACCACUAAGGCUCCUUGGAUUAUUUCACAGAAUAUGCUGGCCAGGUUUCAGUUUGAAUACAGUUAUGCAUUUCAGAGGGACAGAAUAUAACUAUUUAAAUUAGAGCAGUAGUUUGUGCCCUUUUUGCCUUAAAACGACUUAAGUAAUACAGCAAACUAAAGUAAGACAAAUACUAUUUUAAAUCCUAAUUGCAGUGUGGUUACCAGCAGUAAAGUGCCUGUAGAUUGACACAGACUGCAGUAAUGCCAUGUAUUCUUGUUCACUGAUGGACUUAAGUUUUACUUGCCAUGGGCCAAAUCCUCACUAGUGGUGCAGCUGCCUGGUGCUACUCAAGCAACACAAGUGGAAUUUCCAGCUAGCAUAUGUUCAGCAGAAAAAACUUUACAAAUAUCUUUUGUUCAGCCCUGCCUUUAUUCCUGCUUCUGCCUGUAGAUUGUGCUGCAGGAGAAAGGGCUUGGCCAAGAACAUUUGUGCUCCACUGUAGGGUGUCUUUCACCAGUGGGCUAUCAAAACCCUCCCUGAGAUCAAACCAGAAUUCCUAAUGGAAAAUAAUUUUGCCAAAAAUUUAUUUUCUCACAUUUAAAGCUUUUUGUUAGUGUCUUAAACUUUGAAGUGGGCUUGACAGUGUUUGCUGACUUGGCUUCAACAAAAUGAGGUUUGGAUUUAAUGAGCGUUAUCUUUUGUAUUUUAUUUAAAUUAGUUUUGAGUUAAACAUGACAAGCAUUAUUGCUAGUUUUUACACUGCAUCAGAGAUUAUAUUAAUUUGGAUAACAACUGUUUUCAGUACAGUCUUGAAAAUUGCAUAUUAACAAGGCUUUAAAUUGGACUGGUGUCUGGACAAGGAGAUAUGUGGAUAAUUUUGCAUAUACUCAGUGAAGUUACUUUCUGCAGACCAUGGAUGAUUUUGGAAGACACUGGUCAAGCUUUGCCCUGUUGCCCCUACAAGGAGCCUCUUUUGAUCAACCAAGAGCUAAGGCUCAAGAAGCUUAUUUCACAAUUCUAGAUUAUUAAUGUAAUCUUGCACCUGUUAUUCUUCUACCAGAUAGGUCUUUAGUUGUUUCUCUGAUGUUUACACUACUGAUUUAUUUAGAGAUCCUAUAUCUCUUUCAGCCUUUGUUUUUCUGGGCUAACGCUUCUAUUUUUAUUUUGUUUAUUAGCAGAUAUGAUAUUCAAACAACUUGGUUUUCCUGAAAAUCAAAAUGUCUCAUCUAUAGUCAAACCAAACAAAGACAACAGCAAAAAAAGGAAAAUACUAAAAUAGGGCAUGUGUUAGGUGAUGGAGGGAGCACUGACUGGCCACUCAGCAUCUUGCAGUGAAUUUCUCAUGGGGGGACUCAUGACAGAAGUUAGAGACAAUACUGAACUUCAUGUGCUGCUGGAUGUUGCCUUCUCUCACUGGGGUAAACCAUUCCCUAACAUGAAUGAAGACCUCGCCAGGAGUGCAGCACUACAUGGAAUGAUACAAAAAAAUUACAAUAAGAACUGUAAGUUAUUUCAAGGCUAACUUCAGUAUAAAGCUUGAACAGAGCAAAGAAAUUUUCUUUAACCUGAUUUCUAGUCUUCUGAAAUUCUGCAGGGUACUUGCUUAUGGUUUUCAGCAGACUUCAUUUAAUGAACACUGGACUCCUUGUUGCCAAAGUUCAUGGAGAAGGCCAUGCCAAUUGUUUUCUACCCCCAAGGAAAAACACAGAGCUGCCCAUCUCCCAGAAGGAUCAGUUUAUUUCUGUUUCUACUGUGUGAUUAAAAGCAAGUGACAGAACAAAAAAUUGUUUGCUGCAGUAAUUUCUACUCAUGUCUUUACUGCACUGGAGAUUCACCCAUAAGAAAGGUGGUAUCUCAUUUAAAGACAGGAAUUCAGGUUCAUCGUGUUACUUUUCCUGUUUGGUUCAGCAAAUCUUCUGGUGUUCCCAGAAAAGCACAUUCCCUGACUUCACUUAACUGCAGCCAGCCGUGAGGAGACAAAGUGAGUUUAGUCCUGUAGCCUUGCAGGAGUGGCACUAAAGGCCAUGUGCUUCCCAGGUUACUCUGCUGCACCCUCUGCCUCUGGGAGAGGUCUCCAUUCAGGGAUCAAAGGGUGAGCUAGAAAGUCUAGGAAGAUAACUAAAAUGUUUCAUAGUCAUUGAGUCAUGUUAUUUCUGCUUAUGAAGUUUGAGCAGUAGGCUGCUUUUUCUCUUGGAGCUUAUCUAGGUAUUACAGUUACCUCUGUAGUUACACCCUAAUAAUUCCCAAGGUAACGAGACUGGAUGUCCAGACUAAAUGUCGUAAAUUAAACGUAAAGAAUUCAUAGGUUUUCUUGAUAGCUGUUUUGCUGGAGCUGUGUGUAUUUUUCUUUUUUACCUCCCAAAAAAGCUCAGUGUUACUCCAUUCUGGCGUUUUGUCAUGACUGCAGUUUGUGUGAGUAUAAACUGACAAAACUUAUUUUAGUGAGCGUGUAGGUUGCAGCAGGACAUGGUUAUUCCACCCUAAACAUUAAUGCAGGAGAAUAGAGUGAGUACAAGUGUUUCUUUAUAUUUUCAUAAAGCCUGAGAGUGUUGGUAGCAUAUUAAUGACAUUGGGCUCUAAUUUCUGACUCAGGGGAGCAACAACAGUAGCAUGAACUUCACCCAGAGUGGUGGAGCUACGCUUCAGUACAGGACCUGAGCUGUAUCUUUGUCUGUGUGUGUAAA